UAUAACUUCUCUGUAUCCUGAGCUAUAUAUAGGGCGGCAUCACCCAGUACAGGGUAUGUGCAGUAGAGUUGAUAUUAUUUAGACAGAGGUUUAAACCCAGUCAUCUCCACCAUGAAGGCUUUCACUAUUCUCCUCCUUGUUGUCAUCGCUAGCGCCUAUGUUGCUGCUCAGGGGCAGAACAUUGGAGGUGCAGGAGGCGGUGAGGCAUCAGAUGUAGGUGGCGCUAAUGGCCAGGGUGCUGGACAUGUUGGCGGUGGGAGCAGCGGUGGCCAAAUUGGUUCUGCCCUUGAUGCAGCUAAUGGUGCAGUUAGCGGUGCGGGUGGCAAGUGAUCUCAUUCUCUGUGCAGGCACCACAAGGAAUCCCUGACCAUGACCGGCCAAGUCCUCAGAAUUAAUUUCCCCCCUUAUGAUUUUGUUUCCUCUUUUUCCUGAUUCUUUAUAUUCUCUCUCCAUGAUUUCUCUUCCUUUCAUGUCUCA